UCUUCAGCUGCUGAUGGCCGGGACAGCAGGACUCACUGUGGAUCUUUAUUUCUUCAGGACUUUUUCUUAAUGUAGAUUCAGCAGGAUUUUAUAAACAUUCUGGAUCAUUCUGCAUUUCUCCUCUUCUCACAGAUUCAAAUGGAGUGUAUAAAGGAAAAAACACAUAGAAAACUGCCAUCAGAAACCACAGACAAGCAAAAACCAACAGGACAAAGAUAGAAAAAUGGAGGACAGAAAUGAAACACAGACCACUGGAUCUCAAGAGAAAAGCAGACAGAGACUUGAUAGAUGUGACAGUAUGAAGAUGUUAAAGCCAUUCUUCUCUCGUGAUCCAGACGGGCAGGUAAAGUUUCAUUCUGAUGUCAAAAGUGCUUCAGCAUGUUCUCAAGAACACACAACAUCACUGAGACACCAGCAGCAGAAGACCUGAUCAUCAUCAUCAUCAUCUUCAUCAUCACAGACUCCAUCACUCAGAAUACAGUCUCUUCAGCUCCAGGACUGUUUUCAGACUCAUCUGAUCACAAACUAACAGACCAAUGAACCGUUUCUUUCUCAGAUCUGUAUCUGAGAACCGUUUUAUUGAUCUGGAGCUGCACUUUAUGUGAUCAUUUUCACAUCUGCAUCACACAGAGCUUCUUUUUUUCCUUUGACAAAAUAUGAGUUUCAGUUUGUGCUGCCUCAUAUUUCAUGCAUUUUUUAUUUACUAUUUGUGUUUUUGUAUUUCUGUAUAUUGUGAUUUAAUUUAAGAGAUUCUAUCCACCUUAUUUAAUUCUAACAGAAAUGCAGGUGUGACUGUUUGUUAUUAAAUGUAAAUAGCCAGUAUCUGGGCUUCC